rnacentral:rRNA from 1 species
AGCGAACGCUGGCGGCAGGCUUAACACAUGCAAGUCGAGCGGGCGUAGCAAUACGUCAGCGGCAGACGGGUGAGUAACGCGUGGGAACAUACCUUUUGGUUCGGAACAACACAGGGAAACUUGUGCUAAUACCGGAUAAGCCCUUACGGGGAAAGGAUUUAUCGCCGAAAGAUUGGCCCGCGUCUGAUUAGCUAGUUGGUGAGGUAAUGGCUCACCAAGGCGACGAUCAGUAGCUGGUCUGAGAGGAUGAUCAGCCACAUUGGGACUGAGACACGGCCCAAACUCCUACGGGAGGCAGCAGUGGGGAAUAUUGGACAAUGGGCGCAAGCCUGAUCCAGCCAUGCCGCGUGAGUGAUGAAGGCCCUAGGGUUGUAAAGCUCUUUU